UGAGCUGAGAUCAGGCCACUGCACUCCAGCCUGGGUGACAGAGUGAGACUCUGCCUCAAAAAACAGAAAAGAAAAAAAAAGCGAUCAAUGUUUUUACUUUGUAAGCCAUGGUUUUAUGUACAGGGUGUACUAAAAAAUCUUCAUAGGAAAAGGAGAGUCCGUGGAAAAACUAAAUUCUCCCUUUCAGAUUUGUCCACUGUGUGGUAGUGGCAACAGCAAUUUCUGGAAGAAAGGUCUUGGAUAGCACUGCCAAGUUGCAGCUUCAUAAACUAUCAAGUGAGCUGUUUUCCGUGAGGACAACUCACACACUUGCUAUCACCAUACACAGUGAGCUACUAAAGAUACCGCAGCUCUCAGGGCUGACGUCAAGCGGAUAUGAGAAUGCAACACAGCUGAUUGCCUGCUCCAAGUCCCAAAUUGGAAACAUGAGCUUGCCCACAUAAGACAUUCCAACUAACUCGACAAAUGAAUCCUCAAAUGCUCCUCACGAUCAUUUGUUUUAAAAAGCUCAAGUGAUUUUUCAUUGUCUCAGACUGCUGCUGUGGAAGGUUGCCUAUUGGAAAAAAAAAAAAAAAAACAAGGACAGAAUCAAAUGGAAUAUUUCCUAAGGCAGGGAGGAAAGAACAAAGUAUUAAAAAGGACAAGAAGUCCCACUGCUGUAACAGAGAUAGAGAUUCCUGAUCAAGAAGCCACAUUUUUAGGAAAGUGGGAUGUGCCGUUUUAUUUUUAAAAUGAGAUGCAAUCAAUGACACACGCUGUACAGCAUGUAUUCUGUGUACUAGCCUCUCCCCUAGCCUCUCCCCUGGUUUCAUAUUAUUUUUCUACCCUUAUUUACCCUUUGCCCCAGUUUUCUUAACUCUUUGAGAAAAUACUGUAUCUUUUCAUAAGAUGUUGGAAAUCCUAUUUGAUACAUUGUGAAGUGAAAAUAAGUAGAAAAUGCCAUAUUUUGAGCAUUAAUGAUAACUUUCUAAAUUUGCUGCAAUGGAUUAUUUUUGGUGACUCUACUUAAAAUACCUCAAAUCAAAUUCCCUACUUGAGUAUAAGCAUAAAUAUUCCAGAUUUCUGAAAUCAAGAUUUAAAUAGUUAUUCCAGCAUACAUGUAUAUACAUACACAUCCAUGUAACUUUCAUGAGACAUGUAUUACAAGCUGUUCGAACUACCGUUCCAGAGGUUCACUGACCAACGAAAAUAACCUUAGUAGUGAAGUACAAAACCAAAUCCAGAAAGCAGUCCAGGGGUUUAGUCAGAUUGCUUCUUCUCACCGAGCAGCGUCAUACACCGUGUAAAAUGUGCCUCCUUCGUCUUCUCAUUCUGCCAUGAUUGUAAGUUUCCUGAGGUCUCCCCAGCCAUGCUUCCUGAACAGCCUGCGGAACGUUAAUCGCCAGACAAUCCAGAUGAUGCUCCUGCUACAAUGACGCAAUGAUACCAACCCGUCUCUCAAGAACGCCCCCAAAAAUUAAGGUUUUCUUUUUCCAAGGUGCCCAUGCCACCCCCUGUGUCACGCCUGAAGUAGUUAUUGAGUAAGUUGCCCCUUUUCCUUUUUUUUAAUAACCAAAUAGGCAGGAAUGACAGAUUCUCCCCAGUGCCUGAAAGCUUGAAGGGAUGAAUAACUCCUCCCUUCUCAGGCCCAGUCCCAAGGCACAAGGCCACUUGUGCCAGCAGCCAGCAGCGUGCAUCAGCAAGACAGCAGAAGCAGGAAGACAGCCUGCCGGAAGACACCUACCCUGGCCGGAAGACAUGUACCCCUGAAGAUGGAGAAAGAGGCCGUCCGGGUAUGACGUAGCAGUCACGUCAGACUGGGACACUUCCUGUUUAGAGAGGACUAUAAAACUCCGGUCCGGUAAUCACUUGGGGCUGACGCCAUUUUAGGCCUCAUCCCGCCUGCACCCAGGCACUCAUUAAAACAGCGUGUUGCUCCACACUGCCUCGUGUUGUCUGUUGGUGCGCUCUCGGGGUUCAAACCGAUACAAGAACCUUUCAAAUGGUAGUAAGAUUAAAGGUUUUUAUUAAUUGAGUUAUUAAUAACAAAAAAGGCACAGAUCAUAAAUGUGCAGUUAUGAAUUUUGGCAAUUGUAUACAUUCAUGUAAUCACUACCCACAACAAAAAUAGAAUGUUUCCACCACCACAAAAAGUUUGCAACACCCCUGUACCUCUUUCUAGUGCAUUUCCAAUCAUGUCCUCAUACCUACCUACCCCACAACCAUUUUUUAAUUUCUUCCAGAGCUAAGGCUUAAUACAUUGAAUUUUACAUAAUCUUAGGAUAGACUGUCCCACAUAAAGGAGACUAUCUGCAAUAAUUUAUGUUGGAAGAAUAAGAUAUUGAUGUCAAUUAAUACAUUUUGUGUCCUGGUUUAAAAAUGCUCCUACUAUUAAUUAAAAUUUUAAAGACAUUUUCUUGUGAAAGUAUAAAGGGAUACUUUUUUCUAUUU